rnacentral:rRNA from 1 species
AGGAUGAACGCUGGCGGCGUGCCUAAUACAUGCAAGUCGAGCGGUAAGGCCACUUCGGUGGUACACGAGCGGCGGACGGCUGAGUAACACGUAGGAACGUACCCCAAAGUGAGGCAUAAGCACCAGAAAUGGUGUCUAAUACCGCAUGUGGCCUAACAGGCUAAAGCUCCGGCGCUUUGGGAACGGCCUGCGCAUGAUUAGCUUGUUGGUGAGGUAAAAGCUCACCAAGGCAGUGAUCAUUAGCUGGUCUGAGAGGAUGACCAGCCAGACUGGGACUGAGAACGGCCCAGACUCCUACGGGAGGCAGCAGUAGGGAAUUUUCCACAAUGGGCG